UUUUGGACUUCGAGUGGAUCUCAGUAGGUUGAAACUACCGAAGAAAGAACACAAAUGUGCCUGAAGCAGAAGACCAAAAAGCAAUAAACCGAAACCCCUGCACGCCACUCCAGAGGGUGCAGAACUCUGAAAAUAAAAACCAACAAACAUGAACCUAGAGAUUACCACACUAAGCAAAGUCAAUCAGGAGAAAGACAAACACUAUAACCAAGAACGUGUGAAUCUGGGAGAACUGAAGCAAAACCAAGGGCUUCUUCCCCUCUCCCCACAAGACUCACCAUUUACAAUGGGACAGGAGCCCAAAGCAAAGAAGUGAUCAUGGAGAGUCAUCUUGAUGCAAAGCAUCUCCCCCGCAAUGAAAAGGAAGAUGGAAUCAAGUGACACCCCCAUCAGCACACCUCUCCACUGGUGGUUCAGCCCAGCAAAUGAAAACUACUCACAAAAUAUUCCACAUUAAUGCUGAGGCAGUUGAUGUCUUGCUGCCAAGAGAGAACGGUUAACAGUCAGAACCGGAGCAGAGUUGUCUGUUUACAACUCAGAAAGAGAACUCCACAAGUAUAUGAAUUUGGGAUUGCAUGCAUUGAGAUACUUCAUUCUCACCAGCAGAACCCAUAAGGAGUCUGGGACUUCCCUGGUGGUCCAGGGGCUAAGACUCUGUGCUCACCAUGCACAGGGCCAGGGUUUGAUCCUGGUCAGGGAACUAGAUCUCACAUGCUGCAACAAAAGACCCACAUGCCACAACAAAGAUCCAAGACCCCGUGUGCACAACAAACCUUGCACAGCCAAAUAGAUAAAUAGGUUUUUUUUUAAAGAGCCCAUGGCGAUUUUCAGUCACCUUAUCUGAUUCACUGGGUAUUUUCCAAGAAUUUUGAUACAGAAAUGACAAAUGUGGCAAUUUGGAUUUCCUAUUUUACAGCUGUUAUUUCUAAUUGGCUACCCAUUAAUUCAGUCCAUAUUGGGAACUCUGCCUGUUCCCUCUCUGGCUCUAGUCUCCUUUCUCUGAUUGUUCUUUAAUGACCCAACUCUCUCACUUUUUCUGCUCUUAGAGUUCUUCCCCCUUUGGUUAGAUAUGCACCAUUAUUGGAGAGUUUCCAACUAUCUCAGUUCUUUUUCUACUGUUUUGGAUAAAUAAAAUUUAUUUUUCCAAAUGAGGGUACCUAUCAGCUUUGGAUAGUCAUUCGCACUUUAGUAUAAAUGAACUUUUAAUAUCUAUGUAGCUUAUUUGCAUUCAUAAGAAAACACAAGGUCGAGGAAGGUGCAUGAAAGAGAAAAUAGGGCAUAAUUUGCAAAAUUCAAAUCAGUCAGAUGUGGAUGAUAAUCUCCUGGAGAAGAUCUAAUUUUUACUUUUCACUUAGUCUCUGCUCUGCUCUCAGCGUUGCUCUGGGUCUUACAGCCUUGAUCAGCUCUCUCUCCUCUGUUCUCUGGAUGAUAUUAUUUUAACUCCAGCAACGGUCUGUGUCUAGGCUUCAGUAGCUACCUGGGUGUGGCACCUGCAAAAGUCUCCUUUUCUCUGCCUUGCUGGCCUCCCCCUCACUGCGUUCCACAUCAGUGGUGAUGACGUGACCCCCACUGUUUUCUUUCUUUUCAAUAAAUGUGAUUAUCUAA
ensembl:lncRNA